GAUGAAGAACGUAGCGAAAUGCGAUAAGUAAUGCGAAUUGCAGAAUUCAGUGAAUCAUCGAAUCUUUGAACGCACAUUGCGCCCCCUGGUAUUCCGGGGGGCAUGCCUGUUCGAGCGUCAUUACAACCCUCAAGCUCUGCUUGGUGUUGGGCCCCGCCGCCCCGGCGGGCCCUAAAAUCAGUGGCGGUGCCGUCCGGCUCCGAGCGUAGUAAUUCUUCUCGCUCUGGAGGUCCGGGUGUGUGCUCGCCAGCAACCCCCAAUUUUUUUCAGGUUGACCUCGGAUCAGGUAGGGAUACCCGCUGAACUUAAGCAUAUCAAUAAGCGGAGGA
rnacentral:misc_RNA from 1 species